rnacentral:lncRNA from 1 species
GAUUGGUUUUCCACAUUGGAACCCAACUCUAUUGCCUCUUUCUCAGAUUUGGCCAAUAAGUUCUCCACUUUCUUUGCAAGUAGCAAGCGAAUAAAAAAGACAGUCGCAUACGUCAAGGACCCAACGAGACACUUCGCAGUUUUAUGACUAGGUUUAAUAAGGAAAGGCUUCAGAUCCCUGAUCUAUAUAUCACUACCAAUCUCAGCUUUGACAUACACUAUUAAGUGUGACGCAUUUAAGAUGUCCCUGUCUAAGACUCCACCAAAGUCAGUAGCCAAGCUACACACACGAGUUGAGAAAUACAUUAACAUGGAAGAAACCAUGGCCCCAACGAGAGAAAUUUCCUCAUCAGGAAAGUCCGAUCAGAAAAGGCCACAUGGGUCCAAUUUGCGACAAGAUGCACCUUGGGUCAAGCCAAGGCAGGACCCUCUCUCAACAUCCUUUACCCAUUUGAACACUUCAAGGUCGAACAUUCUGAUGGAGAGCAAGGAUUUGAAGGAACUAAAGUGACCUCCUAGAUUGCGGUCUCCACUCAAUACUCGUGACGAGAUCAAGUACUGUGAUUUCCAUAGGGAUCAUGGACAUACAACGGAAGAUUGUUUCACCUUAAAACGGGAGAUUGAAGCUCUUAUGAAAAGGGAAUUUUAGGCUCUUAUGUUAGCAAUGACAAGCAACCGAGGAAUAAUCAGAACAGAUUGCUAAGCGACCGAGGAAUAAUCAGAACAGAGACAAGGCCCCAGAGGGUCGGGAAAACAAGCAACAAACCGCAGGUACUAUCAAUAUCAUUGUAGGAGGAAUGACCUUGGGGGGAGAUUCUAGCAGCCGACGUAGACAGUAUGCCAGGCAGCCUCCAACCAUCUCAAAAUCAGAUCUUGGUUCUACAGAGGACAUCACUUUCGGAGCAAGGGACUUGGAAGGCAUAUCAUUCCCUCAUGAUAAUGCUCUAGUCAUAUCGGCCAUCAUCGCGAACUUUGAAGUCAAGAUAAUUCUGAUAGACAACGAAAGUGCAGCCAAUGGACUGUCUCGUGAAGCCUUUGGUCAAAUGGGGAUCUCAACAGAACAGCUCAAGCCAAUCAAAACACCUCUCCAAGGGUUUGGAGGCGGGGUCAUCACCCCUGAAAGUAUUGUCGGGUUGCCUUUAACGUUGGGGUCAGAAGGUAAGCAAGUGACACAGAUCACCACUUUUGAAGUUGUCCAUACUCCAAUGGCUUACAACGCCAUAUUGGGAAGACCACUGCUCAAUAGAAGCCUAGCUAUUGUCUCAACUUUUCACUUGGCUAUGAAGUUCCCUACAAAUAAUGGAAUUAGGGUGGUUCGAGAUAGCCAAACAGUGGCCCGAAGUGUUAUGUGACUAGUGUCCGGAAAAUUGAG